rnacentral:rRNA from 1 species
GACGAACGCUGGCGGCGUGCUUAACACAUGCAAGUCGAACGGAAAGGCCCUGCUUUUGUGGGGUGCUCGAGUGGCGAACGGGUGAGUAACACGUGAGUAACCUGCCCUUGACUUUGGGAUAACUUCAGGAAACUGGGGCUAAUACCGGAUAGGAGCUCCUGCUGCAUGGUGGGGGUUGGAAAGUUUCGGCGGUUGGGGAUGGACUCGCGGCUUAUCAGCUUGUUGGUGGGGUAGUGGCUUACCAAGGCUUUGACGGGUAGCCGGCCUGAGAGGGUGACCGGCCACGUUGGGACUGAGCUACGGCCCAGCCCCCUCCGGGAGGCAGCGGUGCAGUAUAUUGCACUGUGGGCGGAACCCUGAUGCAGCACCGCCGCGUGCGGGGUGACGGCCUUCGGGUUGUAAUCCGCUUCCGCCUGUGCCGAAGCGUGAGUGACGGUACUGGGUAAAUAAGCACCGGCUAACUCCGUG